AUUUUGGACUGAUCUAUUUGAAAAUCCAUAAACUCGUUUAUAUUAUGAAGAGGUGGGUUCAUGAUUUUUUGUAGAAUUUUCACAAGGUUCCUUCUCCCUCCUGAUGUGAAAAAACAGAUGAGAAGCGAGCGUAAGAUUCAAAUUUCGCGCGGUUCCUGCCUACUGAGUACUGAAGCACGUCAUGAGAAUGGAAUUUCGCCAUUCUAUUGGCCGGUUUCGGAAGGGACUCAUGUAUACAGACUCUAUCAAAAUUCAAUUCAUAGUUCAUACAACGCAGCUCCUUCACAUCAGUUUGAAUUCAUUAUAGCGUUCGGAAUCACGGCGCCUGGAGUCUAUUAUUUACUUAACAAAUUCCUUUUAGGCUAGACUGGCAGUGAUAAACUGGCGGGUUGGCGGGUUCCAAUAUUUAUAGUUGGCUAGUUUGCAGUUAGUACUUGAACUGUAUGUUAGUGCACGGAGCUUUUCCUUUGUUUUCCCUUUCUUUGAAUAGUUUUAGUUUUAAUCUUUCUUUCGUUCUUUCUCUCUUACGUUCUAGCUUUAUAAUACGUUAUAGGUACAUACAUAAAGACCUACAUUUUUAUUAUAAAACUCAAUUAUAAUUAUAGCAAGACGAACAUCACCAGCAUGUUUCAAUUUUCAAUGCGAGAACUGUGAUGCCAUAAUGGCAGAAGCCACUUUCUUGUCUACAUCUCAAAUAAUAGAAAUUGCACGGGCGUGAAAUCUACGUACAGCAGUGAUGAGAUUCUGGAAUUCCAUUGUCUGCAAUGUCUACUCCUAUAAUUGAAGAGCAGAUGGAAGAAGCUGUAGUUUUGCAAAAUUUCAUGAUCGAUGAUGAUGCUGAUGAUUAUGAGAAUUCUCAAUUUCAACAACUUCCGGCCACUUCCUCCUUCAACGAUAAACUGUCGGUUCCUGCUGCCUAGAACCAUAGAUGAAGGAUAAUAUUUAUAUUUCUUGUCUCUGCUAGAACGUAGUGGUCAUUUUAUAAUCACUUCUUCCAUUACCAACACACAAGCCAAGGGCUCAUGUGGGUAUCACACUCCAAAAAUAAUAUUUCGACACUGCAGUAUUUCAGCACUUGUUUAUAAUAAACAAUGACGAUUUUCUAAGAGAAGGAUAGUUUGAAAAAAAUCCUAGUAUAGCACAAAAUAACACCAAACAUAUUUUUUGCAGGCUUCAAAUAGAUUGAAUUAAGUUAUUUUCAAUGAGAGCAUUUAUUCAAAGGAGAGGAGCACAGAGGUGCGUGAAGCUACCUCGUUGUGAAGAACAGACCGUUGGGUGUGUACUUCAGCGACUCGAGUGACAGUUUGUAUUGUAGCUCACAGGACUCUAAUAUUUUGUUAUUGACCAAGGAGCUCAGCAAAUCUGACAAUGAGUGUACUGAGGCUACAGACCGUUAGGUGUGUGUCAUAACCCCCCAUGGGCAAUUCUCCUGUCGAAUAAUGUUGUAGAAAUUCACUUAGACCGCGGGACUAUAUUUUAUUAUAGAACUAUUGGACUAUUGUGAAUUUCAACAUUUCUACAUGAAAAUAAUCUUUCUUCACUUUGAGCCUACAAAUUAAAAUGAAUUACAUAUUUAAAUUCAAGUGCAAUUAUAUUCUCUUUUCCAUAGUUAUUGUCUUGUUUAGAAUUCACAAUAAUUUUAUUCCACCGAAAUAUAUAUAUAUAUAUUAUAUUAAUUCUAAACAUAAAUAAAUUUUAAUAUUCAUAUAUAAUAUUACUCAUAAUAACCAAUAUGAGAGAAAUGUAGAUUCAAUUAUAUAUUUUCAAUUCUAAACAUCCAAAAUCAAAACGGAGUUUUCAUCAGUCAAAAGCUUGUCAGUUUUAUUUUUUAUAAUAAUAGUUUACAACAUACAAUAUAAUUAUGGUAAUAUUCAGUCAAAAUUCUGAAUGUGAAUCUUGUUGCUUCGUUUUUCAAUAGAAGAAUACUAUCAAUUAUUAUUUAUAAUAUUAGAAUUAUGAAUAAUAAUAAUCAUUAUUGAUAAAAUCUUAAACAUUUUAUUGAAUAAAUUGAAAUUAAUGGGGUUUAUUAAAAUUUAUUUUCAUUGGUGUCAACGUUCUAAAAAUAAAGGUGGACCAAUAACGGUAUUGUCAGUUCCACAUAAUUUAUUUUAGCCAAACUUGAAGUUUCAAUGCACUAGGGCAUCAUCUUCAGUGGUAUUUUUCUCAAAGAAAUAUCUAAAAGACCACUCACUGAAGAUGAUGCCUUGAAACUCAAGUUUGGCUCAAAUAAAUUAUGUGAAACGGACAAUAUCGUUUUUAUUCCACCUCAAUAUGGAGAAAUUCCACAAUAUCUCUGUUCAUAGUGUAUAAGAGAUUUUUCAAUGUUUACAUGAGUAUAAUUAAUUGUAGAUUUAAGUGAAAUUUUUAUUAUUUUUGGCGAUUGUGAAGGAAGAUUUUUGUUUUGAUUUGUAUUUUGAAAUUAAUUAAUCUGAUAAAUUCAAAAUUGUAGAAGAUACAUUUUUUUGGACUCAAAAUAGUGUGUGAAUUAAGUUAUAAUUUUUACAAAACCUCUAGACUAUGUAUUCCAAAUUGAGGUUUAGAGCAGUUUUGGGCGAAUGCCUGUUGUUUUUACCUGGAUUGUAUUUGUAUA